rnacentral:rRNA from 1 species
AGUCACGAGUUUGAUCAUGGCUCAGAACGAACGCUGGCGGCAUGCCUAACACAUGCAAGUCGAACGAGACCUUCGGGUCUAGUGGCGCACGGGUGCGUAACACGUGGGAAUUUGCCUCGGGGUAUGGAAUAACUCAGGGAAACUUGAGCUAAUACCAUAUAAUGUCUUCGGACCAAAGAUUUAUCGCCCUGAGAUAAGCCCGCGUAGGAUUAGCUAGUUGGUGGGGUAAAGGCUCACCAAGGCGACGAUCCUUAGCUGGUCUGAGAGGAUGAUCAGCCACACUGGGACUGAGACACGGCCCAGACUCCUACGGGAGGCAGCAGUGAGGAAUAUUGGACAAUGGGCGAAAGCCUGAUCCAGCAAUGCCGCGUGAGUGAUGAAGGCCUUCGGGUUGUAAAGCUCUUUUACUCGGGACGAUAAUGACGGUACCGAGAGAAUAAGCCCCGGCUAACUCCGUG